GCAGCGCCGAGGUCCUGCCCACGACGUACUCACGGAGCGCCUGGAACUUCACGCACGUCAGGCACUGGCUGGGGAUCUGCGGGGACAGUAGGCAGGCUCAGGCCCUGCUGGACCACCGGCCCAGGGGGCUGCUCUGUGAUGCCUCAAGCGUGGGUCCUUCCUGGGGAAAAGUCUCGGAUGAAGCUGCCUUCAGACCCCUCCCUCUCUUGUGUGCGCGUGCACGGGUGUGUGUGGCACUGAGUGCGUUCGCCAUGCUGCACGCUCGCCUCUUCUCGGGAACACUUCUGCCCCCCAGAGGGAACCCUCUCUAUCAGCCGUCACUACCUGUUCCCCUCCCCCAGCCCCUGGCAGCCACUAAUCAGGAUCUCUGUGGUUCUCUUGUUCUGGACAUUUCAUGUCAACAGACUCCGCCGUGAGUGGCCUUGGUGUCUGGUUUCUUUCCCACAGCAUGGGUCAGUGCUUCACUCCUUUUUAUCAAAGAACAAUAUUCUGCUGCUCCCCUCCCCGAUUUUCCACCCGGCACCAGCCUUCAGCACCACCAGCUCUGCCUGCAGCUUCGCCGGGUGUGGCUUCCGGGCCGUCAGAGAGCUGCGGGCAGCCACAGCAGCCUCUACCCUCAGCAGCGAGCAUGGCUCCCCAGCUGGCCGUACCUCGUCAAAGUAGAAGAGGACCCUGCGUCCGGCCACCUCGUACCUCUUCAUCCCGAUGUGUCUGUCAAGGAGCAGCUGUCCAGCAAGAGGGAAGUCAGGUCCAUCCUGGAGGACCCUCUGCCCCUCACUGGUCACUUCUUCCCCUGGCCAUCCAGCAAGCCCUCAUGGGCCAGGGCCUAGGUGGGCCGAGUGCUUGCUUCUUGCUCCUCUUCCCCAAGCCCCAGCCUGAGCUCAGCUGUGGCCUCAGGCAAGACAGCCCUCUCCCCACCCCUUUCUUCCCCUACAAAACACCAAGAUGACACUGUGACACUGGUCUAUCCGGAGGAUGGCGGCCACCCGCCCUCCGCUCCCCCCCAGAGCCCAUGCACCCUUGCUACAGUCCUCCAUGGCAUCCAGAAUAGUAAAGGUGGUCCCAGGGGGUCCGCCUCCAGGAAGAGUCCCUUCCCUGCUCCACCCGUCCCUCAGGAGGCCCAUGACCCAUCUUUGCCCAGACAAGCAAAAUAAACUAAAACAGAAGUCAAAACGAC
rnacentral:lncRNA from 1 species